AUUGAACGCUGGCGGCAGGCUUAACGCAUGCAAGUCGAGCGAGCGGCGGACGUGUGAUUAAUGUCUGGGACACUGCCUGAUGGAUGGGUAUAACUACUGGAAACGGUAGCUACUACCGCAUACCAUCAGAUGUGCCCAGAUGGGAUUAGCUAGUAGGUGGGGUACUGGCUCACCUAGGCGACGAUCCCUAGCUGGUCUGAGAGGAUGACCAGCCACACUGGAACGGAGACACGGGCCAGACUCCUACGGGAGGCAGCAGUGGGGAAUAUUGGACAAUGGGGGCAAGCCUGAUACAGCCAUGCCGCGUGUGUGAAGAAGGCCUUCGGGUUGUAAAGCACUUUCAGCGAGGAGGCGUUACUCGCAGAAGAAGCACCGGCUAACUCCGUGCCAGCAGCCGCGGUAAUUC
rnacentral:rRNA from 1 species